rnacentral:lncRNA from 1 species
GGGUAUGCACCACUAGCAGUGGGAGCAGACGUGCCGGCAGCUGUGAGAGAAUUUAGCCGGACCUUAUUCAACAUGAGGCCGGACAUAUCACUAUUUGUUUCAAAAACCGUAUUUGACACGGACCUGAGGGGGAUACUAGGCCUAGUCAGGGUGCCAUGUGUUAUAAUGCAGACCUCAAAAGACGUCUCCGUCCCGGUCUCCGUCGCUGAGUACUUACAGAGACAUCUGGGCGGCCGGAACACCGUUGAGCUUUUGAAGAUUGAGGGUCAUUUGCCGCAUUUGAGCGCCCCUGCGGUCGUGGGUCCCGUCAUCCGGCGAGCCCUGUCGAGAUGAUGAUUUCUCUAGCUACUAGGUGGGGCCCGCACCCGGAAUAAUUUGUGGACAAAAGGCUUUUGGACUCGGGAUUAUUAUUAUUAUUAUAUGAUCUUCUUACAAAGAUAAGCGUACCCAUGUGAUUAUCACGUGAAGACGUGUCCUAUUUUGUUUUGUUUUUUCCUUUUUUCUUAUAAUGUGCCAAACUUUUAUCCUUUAUUCGGCAAGCGAAAAUCAGGAAAUGAAAGGGCUGUCUGUUGUACCUUUUUUUUUUUUUUAACUAUUGACAUUGGAUACUUUCUUGGACUAAGAUUCUCCUUUUGCUUUUUUAUCUUCUAAUUUUUUUGGUUAAAUGAGUGAUAAAAGUUUGAAUUUUAAAUUUUGAUAUUAAUAAAUAAAUUAAUUUUUUUUUAUAUUCAAAUUAGUUUUUUUAAAAAUAGAUUUAAAAAGCAGAGAAAGACUAAUGGAAAAAACAAACAGAGGGAAGAAUCUUAAUCCAUUUUUCUUAUUCCGGAGGAAUUGCCGCCGACUUGUUAUUUAUUUUACGGCGGAGAAUCUUCAAUCUUAUGUUUAUUCGGUAAUAAGAUCCAAAAUGUGAGACAUCCACUAUUAGAUAGGGAUGGUAAUGGAUUUGAUCUGAUCUAAGAUUCAUGUGAUCUAAAUUUAAUCGGAUCGAAAUUGGGUCGGUUUAAAAUGAAUUUGGAUCGGAUUUAGAUAUUGAUGUGCAGAUCUAAGAAGGAUAUGGAGCAGGUCUGGAUAUAUCUUAAUAUCUAAAUCCAUAUCCAUAUCCACCCAUCUUUUAAUUUAAUUUUAUUUUAAAAGUUUCUUAACAAUUGUGUAAUUAUACUGAUAAUAAAUUUUAUUCAUAGCAUAUUAGUGGUAUUUACCAUGUAUUUAAACUCUUAAAACUUAAAUGUUAGUUUUGUAAAUUUAAAGGUCAGUCAGGCCUAAAGUAUGUGCAUGCAAUAUUCAAAUUGCAAGUCAAGUAAUACAACCUGACAAUUUAUUUUAUUAUAUUAGCCAAAUAAUUUUUAAGGAAUAUAGUUAUUCAUAUAUUUAGUCAAAUAUGGUCAUAAUAAAAAUAAUAAAUGAUUUAAUAUAAAUUAUAUUUAAUUUAUAUGUCAUUAUCUAAUGUUAUAAGAAUGAAGAUGAGUGUGUCGUGAAUAUUAGAAGGGAAAUUAUCAACCAUAUACCCUUAAAUGACACCAGUAUCAAACGUGCUACAACACUUUUCAAGUGCAUCACUCAUAUACCCUAAGUUGACAAAACACUUCUACCGUCCACCGAUCCGUUAACUGCCGUUUGUGAACGCUGACAUCAUAAGGGUAAUCUAGUCAUUUACAUAGUAAAAAACGACAUCUCAUUUACAUAGUAAAAAACGACAUGUCAUAUGCUAUAUUUUUAUUGAAGAUCUACUCCUCCAAGCUCCACCUUGAAUUUUUUAUGAUAUAAUAUGUAUAAUUAUAAAUAAUAUGUUGUUAAUGAUUUUUUAUGGUAUAAGAUGAAUAUUCAUGUCAUCCCAUUUAUCAUAAUAUGUACCAUUAAUAAUUUAUUUUUUUAAUUAAAAAAUGUAUUGUUAAUAACAAAAUUAAAAAAAAUUGUGUAUUGAAAAUUUACAUUAAUUUUCAAGGCAAAAUUAUUUUUUUACCUCAUUUUGAGUUUAAAGGGUAAAAUAGUCAUUUUGCUCAAAUUCCGUUUUUUACCUCAUUUUGAGUUUAAAGGAGGUGGACGGUAGAAGUGUUUUGUCAACUUAGGGUAUACGAGUGAUGCACUUGAAAAGUGUUGUAGCACGUUUGAUAUUGGUGUCACUUAAAGGUAUACUGGUGAUAAUUUCCCAUAUUAGAAUAAUGAAUGAUAUAAUAGAAUAUUAGAUUGAUCUUACUCCUGUAAUUACUUUUAAAAGAUAUUUUAUUAUCUUAUUUGUUAUUUUGGUGUAAAUGUAUAAGUUACAAUAUUUAUUAUAUUUUUGAAAAAAAUUAUAUAAUUUAUUUGUUAUGAAUACAUUUUAGUUUUCAAUUUUCAUUCAAAAAAAAUAUUACUUUUUUAAUUGAUGAGUUUUAGAAUUCAUGACAAAUCUAGAGCAUAUUUGAAUUAUUAUUUUUUUUUCGGAUUUGAAGCAGAUAUAGAUAUUUAUUUCUUUUUUGGAUCUGGAUAUGGAGCAAAAAAUAUGGAUUCAUGACGGAUCUGAAGCAGAUACAAAUCUUAAUUUUUAUUAUGAAUCUGGAUAUGGAGUAGAAUAGAUUCAAUUCAUAUCUGCCUCAUUGUCAUCCCUACUUUUAGAUGGAUUUCGGCCACAUAUUCUUUUCCUCCCGCAGCACUUUGUCUCUCUAAUUUGGGUCGUCCAUUAUCUAUUUUUCACUGUCACGAGAGAAAUACAUUGGAAGUUUUAUUUAUCCUUUGUCUUCGUUAAUGAUAUUUUGUUUUUUCAUUUAGACUUUAUAAUUGCAUUCGACAUUCAUAUUUUAAUUUAAACUAUGGAUAUGAAAUAUAUUGAUUAGUUUUUACGACUCGGACCCUAACUAAUAGUUGAGAAGAAAAUUUGAGUCCCACACGACUCGGACCUGCGCCCCCAAUCCCUCAAAUCGAGAGCACAGGUCCUUCACAACUUGGCCUUUAUUUGAUUGUUUUUGUUUUUUUUCGAAUUUUGCAAAAAUACGACAGACAAGUGACAUUUAUGUAACCAAGAAUUAUUGCAGCAUUAUUUCAGUAUUAGCCAUCUAAUUAAUGAAGAUGUUUCACUUCAUUAUCUAUCUACGGUUGUUUCAAUUUUCUAAGAAAAAUAAAAACUACUUAAAAGGAGUACCCUUCAUCCAAAAUAAACUUAACGUGAUUAUUGAAGCUUUUUAGAAUUGUCAUUUGCUGUUAAAUACUUGAAUAGGCAAAGCAAACUCGCACGACAGUUCAUUACCACAGCCCUGGGCCUAGUUGGGUUUUAAAUGAAGGCCUGUCCCAAACUCCUAAUGGAAGGGAAACAAAAUGGAGGAGGGCGAAUGAUUAGUCCAGGCCUUCAUUUGUAAAACCCACUCAGGCCCAUGACUGUCGUAAUGCUAACUACGAGAUCGGUAAUAUUUGACCCCUUUAUUAGCCUCCACCUUUUAACUAAUUUUAUUAAAAAUUAAAAAUUAAUUUUUAUCUCUCAACAUACUUCAUCUAGUCCCGAAUUUAUCCUUAUUAUAAUUUUUAUCUUUUAUUCCAAGCACUCAUCAUAUAAAACUUAUAAAAUAUAUUUUAGAAAAAAAAAAUUCUCAAAAUCACUAUUAUAUCUCUCUUUCUUUUUAAAAGUUUUAUCCACCAUGGCCAUAACUAUAAAAAAAUACUUGGUACUUCUUCAUUAUCCUCUAGUGAGUAUUGUAAAUUAAUUUCUUCCAUAAUUAAAAAAAUAGAGGGUAUAAUAUUUCAGAAUAGAUAAUAAUUUAAAAUUUUAAAAGAAAUUAGAUUAGCUAAAUUAGAUAUUAAUAGAAAUUAUCAUGUGGGGGCACUUAAAAGUUAUUUACUCUUUUAAGUCAUGUCAAAUAAGGAUAAAAUAAGUAUUAGUAUAAAAGCGAUUAGUGGGGAUUGACGAGAUAUAAUGAGGGGGUCAAAUAUUACAACUCCAACUACCAUGUGUUAUUUUCAGAGUGUUGCUACGGAGGACUAUCAACCCCUAAAAUAACCUUUAUCUAACUGAACCACGCCGGAAAAAUAAAAUAAAAUAAAAAUCAUAAUAUUAUUAAUAACAUCUACACGCCAUGAGUUGAUGAUUGUAUUUGUUUCAUUCUUUUUUAAUAACAGGUAUGACUUUUAACUUAGUAAGGAUGUCACUAAAAAACUUUUCAAAUGAGAAGUGAAAAACGCUUCAAAUGAGAUUGUUAUUUUCUCUCUCUUUAAAUUUAAAAAGUGAAUUCUCCUUCUUCAAAUAAUAUUAUGUUAUUUUUUUAUAUCAUCAUUAUUAAAGAGAAAAGUAUUAUAACUAUAUCAAUGAAAAAAUAUAGGCUAAUUAAAUUUGGUGAGAGAAGAAUUUAAUUAGAAUAAUACAAACUUGUAUCUAUAUGAAGAGUCAUUUCCGAAAAAAAAAUAAUUAUCUUUUCACCCUUCUAUUUGCUAAAUAGAUAAGUAAAUAAGCAUUUAUAGUGUAAAAUUAAAUAACUCUUUUAUUGAUUCUCUAACAACAGUUGCAUAAUCAUUCAUUAUUGACUCUAUAUACAAUACCACAAAUGUAUGUUUGUGAUACGAUCCUAGGUUUCCAUUGAUAUAAAUAAAGAAAAAGAAUAGAUAAUUGUUGAUCUCUUCAAGAGAAUCUUCCUUCAAUUAAUCAAAAGACUGUACGAUUAUUUGAUUGGUAGAAUAUAAAAUCCUUGUUUAGAGAGUUUUUAGAGAAACAUUGAACCUUAUCUAAUUAUGCAUGAAUAUGGUAUUUCAAAAUUCAUAACACAAGCUAAUUUUCUUUUUUUUAAGCCUAGGGAUGGGCAUGGGUUGGUAGAAUCAGGUUUGUGAAAAUUCAACCCAACCCGCUAUUUAAGGAAUUGAGAAAAAAAAUCAACUCAAUAGAACCAAAUAAACAUGUCAAAUACAGACCAAUUCAAUUCUUAAAUUAUCAAGUUGGUUGGGUUGAUUGAAGUUAAAAAAAAAAAUUCAAACAUUGAAAAAUAUUAAAAAAACUAUUUGGUAAUUAAUUGAAAUAAGAAAAAGACAAAUUAAUUCUCUAUAAAAACUAUUUUAGUGAGAACUCGGAUUUAAUCUUUGAAUUUUGAAUCAAAGAGAACCCAACUAAUGUCAGGUUUAACAAAAUGAAAUCGAAAAAAGUCUAUUUUCUAAAAGAAUAUAAAGGUGGUCAACAGUUGACAUUAAUUUUGCUAAGAGUUUUGCCAUUCUUGGGUUGGGUUGGGUUAUAUGGUUUCACUAACAUGAACUCAACCUAAUCCAUUCAUUAAUGAGGUUGAAAAAAAUGGUCGAAAUCCAACAAAUCAAUUUAAUUAAUUUUGGGUUGAGCUUGGCUGAAUUAGAUCCAUUAGUUGAAUUUGGUUUACUCGCUCGCACUACAAAGGGAUCCAGAAGGGACUUACCGUGUUAGUCUCAUCAUCACCAUUGGUAUUUUCCGUGGGCUGAACGCUAAACGAUCAGCCUUACUUACUUCGUUUGGUUUUAUCUUCUGAUCAGUAUUAUAAUACUAGUGGUAUAUUAGAAUAUGAAUUAAGAUUCUUCAAGGAACCAUUCUUGUAUGCGUACAAGAAUUACACACCCACACACAUAUAUAUUGUCAAUUCUGUCGUGUUUGUCCCAGCUGUGUCCAUUUCUUCUGUAACAAUACCACCCUGACCUAUUCUCAGUUUUGGUACGGUGUAGGUAAAGAAGUCGCGGAUGCCGGGGCAAUAAUUUAAUUGAACCAGUGCUAUGUGAGCGAAGCAAUGCACUUAUAUUUUAUAUUUUAUCAUUUUAAACAGAAGCUUGGGUAAUAAAUGAACUGUAGAGAAAUUGAAACAUCAGCUAUUUGUCCUUAUUGAGUUUUGAGAGUUGGUGGACGCGGCGGCCAUCUGCCUAUUCGGCUAUAUUCAUUCCCUGGCGGCUAGCUCGGCCAAGUCCACUAGGUGAGGGCGGCCAUAUUUGAUCAUUCUCUGCGAUCAUCAUCGAUGGUAUUUUACCAAGGCAAGAAUGCGCAGCUCUUAUAGGGUCGGCUUCAUUUGGAAGGCACUGGUUGAGAAUUUCUAACUUAAGUGUGUGUGUGGUUGGUCAAGUCAACUCUGGUGGCCCUCUGUUUCUUAUCUCAUAAUCUUGCCUGUGUAAAACGCGUAUCGAAUUGCAACUUUGCGAGUUUGUAUGACCAACCUCCAUAAUGGUUUUGACCUAUAGCAAAUUAUUCUUAACCCUUUUUUGGUCUUGGGUUGUAAUGGCCCACCAGUGACUCUCCCAGACCGGUUCAAUUUUAAUUUCUGUCGAGAGUUGGCGCAACGAACUAAACUACCCACCAACUGUAAACUGUAGAUUCUAUGCUGGAUCUCUUGAACAACAGUUACAACCCUCUAUCCUAAAACAUUUAAUUAAUUUUGCGUAUGUGUGUACGCCAUUUUCUCUAAAAAGAAAACAGUUAUAAAUAUAGUGAAUUAAGGACUGUAAACUUCAGUUUUCUGGUCUUAAGAGAACACUGAAAGCUGCAAUGUAAUAAAAAUAUCUAUUUUCUUGUGCGUACAAAUACAAUUUUGUACAUGGAAUUUUCCAUGAAGUCAUACUGAAAGUCAUUUCUUAUUGUUUAUUACGCGGCAGUUGCGAAGUCAAUAUCACUAGAAAGAAGAAGAAAGAUAGAAGAAAAACAAAAGUGAGAGAGAGAAAACUAGAUUCUUUUAUUAAGCAUGACGUUUAAGCCUACGACUAAACUUCAUAGAGUUCAAAUCAAACAUGAACUUAAAAAACAUAACAUAUCAUUCCCUCAAAAAUAUUCUAAAUAAUAAAAGAUUUUGUUACAUGAGAAACAUGGAUUUUUUAUUUUUCAUUUUUACAACAUAUUAGUAAGGUUCAAUUAACAAAAUAAGUAAACGGUCCAUAUCUCUUUCUCCGUACUCUUGAUGAAGCUAUCUCUUGAUUUUAUUUGAGUUAAAGAGUAUAUUGAAAUAGAUAUAAAUAUGUGACUGGAUUUUUCUUUUCAGAUUUGAAUGUAUGGUGAUAUGGUUGUUUUGUUACUUUUAUUUGUUAUGAUAUGUUUAUCUUAGGAAUCGAUCUUUUUGAAAGAUCCAUAGUCACUUUGUUACUCGACAAAGUCUACUCUUAUAAUG